rnacentral:lncRNA from 1 species
AAUAAUUCUAAACAAGCUUAAUCAAAUUCAAAAAAAUCUCAAAGAAAUUUCAAACAAACAAUAAGAAUUCUUAAAGAAACAUUAGAAAGAACACAAAUAUCACUCAAAUAUAUCUCAAUUCAAUCUUAAUUUUAUUCUAGUUAAAAUCCUAUUGAACUUCAUUCAAACUUUAGGCCAAAACUAAUUGAAUCUUAAAUCCUAAUUAAAUUCUAAACCCUAAAUCAAACCCUAAACAAACCUUAAACCAAAUCCCAACCAAAUCCUAAACCAAAUCCUAAUCAAAUCCUAAAUCAAAUCCUAAAUCCUAAAUCAAAUCCUAAUCAAAUCCUAAAUCCUAAAUAAAAUCCUAACCAAAUCCUAAACCAAAUCCUAAUCCAAAUCCUAAAUCCUAAACCAAAUCCUAAAUCAAAUCCUAACCAAAUCCUAAACCCUAAAUAAAAUCCUAACCAAAUUCUAAAAAAAAUCCUAAUCCAAAUCCUAAACCCAAAACCAAACUCUAAUCAAAUCCUAAAUCCUAAAUCAAACCCUAAUCAAAUUCUAAACUAAAUCCUAAUAAUUCCUACAACAGAUUUAAACCUCAAUAAC